GUUAGUGGCGAAAGGGUGAGGAAUAGAUAGGAACGUACCCUGUGCUCUGGGAUAGCGUCUGAAGCUUCGGCUUCUUCCGAAAGGGGCGGUAAUACCAGAUAAUGUCCUUCGGGACCAAAGAUUUAUCGGCAUUGGAGCGGCCUAUCUCCUAUCAGCUUGUUGGUGAGGUAACGGCUCACCAAGGCAACGACGGGUAGCGGGACUGAGAGGUUGGCCCGCCACAUCGGGACUGAGACACUGCCCGGACCUCCACGGAGGGCUGCAGUAACGGAUAUUGGGCAAUGGGCGAAAGCCUGACCCACCAAUGCCGCGUGCAGGAUGAAACCCCUAGGGGUGUAAACUGCUGUCAGGGGUCAGAAAGCUGGUUUCGGCCAGUUGAUCAACCCCAGAGGAAGUCACGGCUAACUUCGUGCCAGCAGCCGCGGUAAUACCAAGGUGGCAAGCGUUAUUCGGAAUCCUUGGGCUUAAAGGGCACGCAGGCGGAACAGUGUGUGUUGUGUGAAAUCCCCCCGGCUUAACCGGGGAAUUGCACAGCAAACUGCUGUUCUUGAGGCAGGUAGGGGUGCAUGGAACUCUUGGUGGAGCGGUGGGAAUGCGUAGAUAUCAAGAGGAACGCCCGACGUGAAGACGGUGCACUGGGCCUGUCCUGACGCUGAGGUGCGAAAGCGUGGGGAGCGAACGGGAUUAGAUACCCCGGUAGUCCACGCCGUAAACGAUGUCUACUAGGUCGUGGGUGUUCUGACACAUUCACGGCCGGAGCAAAAGUGUUUAGUAGACCGCCUGGGGAGUACGGCCGCAAGGUUAAAACUCAAAUGAAUUGACGGGGGCUCACACAAGCGGUGGAGCAUGUGGAUUAAUUCGAAGCAACGCGCAGAACCUUACCUGGGUUUGACAUGCUUGUAUGCCUUCUCUGAAAGGAGUUAGGCUGCCUUCGGGUGAAACUUGCACAGGUGCUGCAUGGCUGUCGUCAGCUCGUGUCGUGAGAUGUCGGGUUAAGUCCUUUAACGAGCGAAACCCUUGCCGUUAGUUGCCAGCGAGUAAUGUCGGGGACUCUAACGGGACUGCCGGUGUUAAACCGGAGGAAGGUGGGGAUGACGUCAAGUCCUCAUGGCCUUUAUGCCCAGGGCUUCACACGUGCUACAAUGGCAAUUACAGAGCGACGCGAUACCGCGAGGUGGAGCAAAUCGCAAAAAAAUUGCCUCAGUUCGGAUUGCAGGCUGGCAAUUCGCCUGCAUGAAGUCGGAAUCGCUAGUAAUCGCGUAUCAGCAAUGACGCGGUGAAUGUGUUCCUGAGCCUUGUACACACCGCCCGUCAAGUGAUGGAAGCCGGGAGUACCCGAAGUCGGGUUGCUAACC
rnacentral:rRNA from 1 species